rnacentral:rRNA from 1 species
GAUGAACGCUGGCGGCGUGCCUAAUACAUGCAAGUCGAGCGAACAGACGAUGAGCUUGCUCCUCUGACGUUAGCGGCGGACGGGAGAGUAACACGAGGAUAAUCUACCUAUAAGACUGGGAAAACUUCGGGAAACCGGCGCUAAUCCCGUAUAACCUGCUGAACCGCAUGGGUCAACAGUGAAAGACGGUCUUGCUGGCACUUAUAGCUGGAUAUGCGCCGCAUUAGGUAGUUGGGAAGGUAAAGGCUUAUCAAGGGAACGAUGCGUAGCCGACCUGAGAGGGGGAUCGGCGGCACGGGAACGGAGACACGCACCAUGCGCCUACGGUAGGCACCAGUAGGGAAUCGUCCGCAAUGGUCGGAAGCCUGACGGAGCGACGCCGCGUGAGUGAAGAAGGUCUUCGGAUCGGAAAACUCUGUUAUUAGUUAAGAACAAAUGUGUAAGGAACUAUGCACGUCGUGACGGUACCUAAUCAGAAAGCCACGGCUAACUACGUG